rfam:Brassica napus, WGS project CCCW01000000 data, contig: 9822
GAGCUGUGAGGAUUUAGGCUUCAGCGAUGGUUGGGUCCAUCGAAUUCAUCUGAUAUCGGGAUGCAAUUUAGCCAUACACUGAGCUC